UACGUAGGGCGCAAGCGUUGUCCGGAAUUAUUGGGCGUAAAGAGCUCGUAGGCGGUUUGUCGCGUCUGCUGUGAAAUCCCGAGGCUCAACCUCGGGCUUGCAGUGGGUACGGGCAGACUAGAGUGCGGUAGGGGAGACUGGAAUUCCUGGUGUAGCGGUGGAAUGCGCAGAUAGUCAGGAGGAACACCGAUGGCGAAGGCAGGUCUCUGGGCCGCAACUGACGCUGGAGGAAGCGGAAAGCAUGGGGAGCGAACAGG
rnacentral:rRNA from 1 species